rnacentral:rRNA from 1 species
AAGGCUUCAGUACGACCCAGUCAGAACCAUAAGUCUCAAAGCCCCGACGAGUAGGGUGGCGUGCCGGUGCGCGUUGAAGGCCAAGACGUGAGUCAGGCUGGAGCCGCCGGUAGUGCAGAUCUUGGUGGUAGUAGCAAGUACUCUGGUGAACCAACCUGGAGCUGUGAGGUCUGGAUUAGGGUUCCAUGUCAACAGUGAUUGAACAUGGGUGAGUCGAACCUAAGCCAACUGUGAAAGCAGUGACAUCCCGACAAAGGGGCACUAUAUAUGUGCUGUACUUACACCCCCAAACCAAAGCUCUCGUAUUGCUCUCUCUCUCGCACUCUCUCUCUGACGAUAAGGUGGCUCUUGAGGCUGAUGGUUACGGAAUAUGGCAGCACGCACACRAUGAUCCAUACAAAUACGUAUGAGUGUGUGUGCAUUGRUUUGGUUACGCUCAUAAKCGUUGUGGCAUGUGGAUAAACGAUAAAGCAUAAAACGAGAGAGAGAGAAACGGAGUGGGUGAGCGUGAGUGUUGCUCCUGCAUGAGCACCCUGCGUCUGGUUCUAUGUCUGGCGAAAGGGAAUGGGGACUUUGUUCCUUGACCGGUCCUGGCACCCUCGAUUGGCUUUGCCAAUUAAUGGUCCAUGCAAAUGGAACCAGGCCACAGCCGUCGGCAGUCGCCCGAGGAAGAGUUUUCUUUUCUGCUUAACGCACGAGGUCAUCCCUGGAAACAGUUCGGCUGGCGAAAGGGUGCCCCGCUGCGGCAGAGCGCCACGACUGUCGUGCGCGUCUCGGUGUUCCUGCUGAUCCGUGAAGACGUGGUCGAGGGGAUUGCUCUUGUAUCAACGAAACGCCCGACAAGUUCGGGACGGACCGUACCCUAUAUCCGCAUCUGGUCUCCAAGGUUCUUAGCCUCUGCAGAGUCAGACACAUGUAGGUAAGGGAAGUCGGCAAACUCGAUCCGUAACUUCGGGAAAAGGAUUGGCUCUGAGGGCCGAGCUGGGCCGGGCCUUGCCUGCAAAGCAGUACCUAUAGUGACCGGAGUUUCAGGAGUGCGAGGGGCUCUAGUAGCUGCUUGUGCGUGUGUGCGUUCGCGCGUGCACGCGUGUGGGCACGAACGAGUCCACCGCUCCGCUCCAACCACGAACGGCUGUGACGGCAAGGGCUCUGGGCGGGAGCGAUCGAUCCGUUGGCCCCCAGCGUGUCUGGGUGGCGGCGGUGCUCCGUCUGACCCAUACGGCUCCAGCGGCUAGCGGCUAACUCAGAACUGUCAUGGACCAAGGGAAUCCGACUGUCUAAUUAAAACAAAGCGUCGUGAUGGCCCCUGUUGGGUGUUGACGCGACGUGAUUUC